UACGUAGGGUGCAAGCGUUGUCCGGAAUUAUUGGGCGUAAAGAGCUCGUAGGCGGUCUGUUGCGUCUGCUGUGAAAACUCGGGGCUUAACCCCGAGCCUGCAGUGGAUACGAGCAGACUAGAGGUAGGUAGGGGAGAAUGGAAUUCCCGGUGUAGCGGUGAAAUGCGCAGAUAUCGGGAGGAACACCGGUGGCGAAGGCGGUUCUCUGGGCCUUACCUGACGCUGAGGAGCGAAAGCGUGGGGAGCGAACAGG
rnacentral:rRNA from 1 species